rnacentral:rRNA from 1 species
AUUGAACGCUGGCGGCAUGCUUUACACAUGCAAGUCGAACGGUAACAGGCCUUCGGGUGCUGACGAGUGGCGAACGGGUGGGUAAUGCAUCGGAACGUACCCAGAGGUGGGGGAUAACGCAGCGAAAGCUGUGUUAAUACCGCAUGUGAUCUGAGGAUGAAAGCGGGGGACCGAGCAGCAAUGUUUGGCCUCGCGCCUUUGGAGCGGCCGAUGUCGGAUUAGCUAGUUGGUGGGGUAAAGGCCUACCAAGGCGACGAUCCGUAGCUGGUCUGAGAGGACGACCGGCCACACGGGGACUGAGACACGGCCAAGACUCCUACGGGAGGCAGCAGUGUGGAAUGUUGGACAGUGGGCGCAAGCCUGAUCCAGCAAGGCCGCGUGCGGGAAGAAGGCCUUCGGGUUGUAAACCGCUUUUGGCAGGAACGAAACGGUGUCCGCUAAUACCGGGCGCUAAUGACGGUACCUGCAGAAUAAGCACCGGCUAACUACGUG